rnacentral:rRNA from 1 species
UGGGGAAUAUUGCACAAUGGGGGAAACCCUGAUGCAGCGACGCCGCGUGAGCGAAGAAGGCUUUCGAGUCGUAAAGCUCUGUCCUAUGAGAAGAUAAUGACGGUAUCAUAGGAGGAAGCCCUGGCUAAGUACGUGCCAGCAGCCGCGGUAAUACGUAUGGGGCGAGCGUUGUCCGGAAUUAUUGGGCGUAAAGGGUACGUAGGCGGUUUUUUAAGUCAGGUGUCAAAGCGUGGAGCUUAACUCCAUUAAGCACUUGAAACUGAAAGACUUGAGUGAAGGAGAGGAAAGUGGAAUUCCUAGUGUAGCGGUGAAAUGCGUAGAUAUUAGGAGGAAUACCGGUGGCGAAGGCGACUUUCUGGACUUUUACUGACGCUCAGGUACGAAAGCGUGGGGAGCAAACAGG